ensembl:lncRNA novel transcript
GAACCAACCAGCCCAGCUGCUUGAGACAGCACAAUGGAUCUUUGGCAAGUGCACUUAUAUUAGUAAAUCUGGCCCAAUAUCAAAUGAUAUCUCUCCCUCCAUGGUCUGGCCCUCUCACAGUUCAUUUCCACACAUUUCCCCAAGUUUCUGAUCAUCUCAGUUAGAAAACCUUGCAACCCUUUAACUCUUUUCCAUUUAUUUGGCAUGUAAGCUUCCAUCUCCUUGGUGGGAUGAUGCUCCCCGUCUCAUCUCCACUCUUCUCCAUUAUCUACGUACAGCUUUGGAAGGAAUACAGAGAGUAGGCAGGGACAUGAGGAGAAUUGGCAUCUUCUUACAAAAUAACAACCCCAGGAGAGGUCAUUACAGGGUCCUCAAUCAAGGCAGGAACCACUUCCCUCCACAGUGAAGGAGGACCUACACCUCUUGGCAAGGGUUCUCGGGAUUGAGGUAACUUGGAGUCAUUCAAGUCCACCCAAAAUUCCCUAUGCUGAUUCUUGGGAUUCCUCCAUUUGCAGUCAAUUCUCUAACAUUUAUAUAAGAGACAUUGUGAGACUGUCAAUUACUAUAAUUUAACAACCAUCAGGCCCAGAUUCUGCUCCAAUUUUGGGUUAUUCUAGGCCUGCUACAAGAAAAGAGAUUAUUUUAGGGUCCUCUGACCAUGCCCUGAAUGCAGCAUGUCUUUCUUUAAGCUCUCUAGCUGAUUAGAAGGCUCUAGUCCAUCAUCCCACAGCCCCUGCAUUCCUAUUUCUGAUGGCACUGGGUUGUGUAAAUAGGCACUCAGUUGUCCAGGGCUUCGCCUUCCCAGGUGACCACAGAUGACAAUUUAUGUGAAUGUUUUGUCAUUGCAUACUGUGAACUACAGUGUCUUGUCCUUUGAUAUUAACAGGAUCUAAUCCCAGAUUCCCACUUUCAGAGUGUUACUCAGUACUUGGUUGGGACCAGUUACUCAACAGAUUAGCAUUUAGUUGCAGACAAAAGAGGCCAUCUCAGUAAAUUAAUCAGAAGGGUAUUAUAUUUAUCACUGUGUUAAGAGUCUUUCAAAAUCAUUAUAAUGGUGGUGGAUGAUGUUCUAGCUAAGCUCCCAGGAAUAAUUUGUAAGGUCUAGGAUCACCAUUUUCCCACUGUGAUUGAGAAAGUAAUUUUUUUUGCCGUUGCAGGAAAUGUCUAUUUCAACAGCCAGGUCUUGGUGCCACACAGGUUAAUGUCUUUACCUGGUGAGUGUAUAUGAUUGGUGGAUCCUAAAUCACAUUCAUAUCUUAGCUCUAAGGAAUAGGGGUGACACAACUUUGAGCUUCGCAGCCUCUGCAGUAGAGGAAGGAACACUAGGAGGGAGUUGACACGGAUACUGAAUGAGACAAACAACAGUCUUUACCAUGGGUUUGGAAGUUAGGGUUUCCUCAAACUUUCACCUUAUUAGAUAUUAGCAUCCUUUUAAUUUUGGUCAGUUUAGUUAAUGAAGCUAUUUUCUUGUUAUUUUGACUUGCACUUUAUUAGUUGAAUGCUUUAUCCAAUUCUGGUGUUUCUUAUUUUUUCUUGAAAAAAAUCUCUGUUCAUUUUCUCUAGUUAGGUGUGUCUAUUUCUACUAUAUUGAUUUAUAAAAGCUUUUUACAUAUUUUAUCUUUUUGAAAGAUGGUCGUGGCAAAGUUUAACUUUUUUUACAUAUUCAAACAUUUUCCUUUUUUUCUGUCAUGUCUACUGCUUUUGGAGUUUAAUUUUAAAGGUUCUUUUCUACUUCAUGAUUAUGGAAAUAUUCAACCAUUUUUUGGGUGCAGUUUUUGGCUUUAUUUUUACAUUAAGUAAUUAAUUCAUCUGUAAUGUGUUUUGGAAUAUAAUAUGGAUUCAGAGUCCAACUUUGUGUUUUCCAGAUAGUAAUCCAGUCAUCCUCACACUAUUUGGAUCAUCUAUUCCUUAUCACUGACUGAAGGUGUUACUUUAUCAUAUACUGAAUUCCUAUAUGCACCUGAGUCUAAAUUGCCUAUUCUCUUCCAUUGAUCUUUCUGUUUCUGGAUCCGUAUCACACUUUAGCAUUCUUAUUUUUAAAAUGUGUUGUGGUUAUACUAAUACAUUAACUCAUGUCAAUAAAAUUUAGGAAAUUUUUGUCAAGAAUUAUAAAAUUCCAUAGGUAUUUUGAUUUGGAAAUUAACAAAGAAUGUAGAUCAACCCAUACAUAUUUGAUGCCUUCUUUCCUAGGAAUAUGGGAGGUGGUAAUGCUUGAUUAUUAAGGGUAUGAGCUGUAUGAGAAACUCAUCAGUUUGGGCCCCCGCUCUGCCAGGAUUUAUACUGUGAGGUCUCCUGCAAGUACUGCACUUUUUUUUUAUAUAUACUUUAAGUUCUAGGGUUCAUGUGCACAACGUGCAGGUUUGUUACAUAUGUAUACAUGUGCCAUGUUGGUGUGCUGCACGCAUCAACUCGUCAUUUGCAUUAGGUAUAUCUCCUAAUGCUAUCCCUCCCCCCUCACCCACCCCACGACAGGCCCUGGUGUGUGGUGUUCCCCUUCCUGUGUCCAAGUGUUCUCAUUGUUCAAUUCCCACCUAUGAGUAAGAACAUGCGGUGUUUGGUUUUCUGUCCUUGCGACAGUUUGCUGAGAACGAUGGUUUCCAGCAUCUUUUUAAUUGUUAGUUUUUUCAUCUGUAACAUGGGAAGAAAUAUUGCAGCUACUAAAAAGAUGUGGUGAGGAUUAAUGAACGGGCACUUGUAAAACUCUCAGAGGAGUACCUGUAGCAAAGUUUAGGCUGAAAAUGUAGUACCAGCAUGUCCUGCCAACAUUCUUGGUGAAGACGAUGAUACUACUUUUUAAGGCUGUAUUAGUCUGUUCUCAUGCUGCUAAUAAAGACAUACUCCAGUUCCCAAAAAGUCCCUCAUCUCCAUCUGAAACCUCCUUAGCCUUGACCUCAUUGUCCAUAUCACUAUCAGGAUGUUGGUCAGAGCCAUUCAACAAGUCUCUAGGAAGUUCCAAACUUUCCCACAUUUUCCUGCUUUCUUCUGAGCUCUCCAAACUGUUCCAUCCUCUGCCCUUUACCCAGUUCCAAAGUCACUUUCACAUUUUUGGGUGUCUUUACAGUAGCACCCCAUUCUACAGGUACCAAUUUACUGUAUUAGUUAGUUCUCACACUGCUAAUAAAUUACCUGAGACUCGGUCAUUUAUAAAAGAAAGAGGCUUAAUUAACUGACAGUUCCACAUGGUUGGGGAGGCCUCACAAUCAUGGCUGGAGGUAAAUGAGAAGCAAAGUCAUGCCUUACAUGGUGGCAGGCAAGAGAGGGAUGUGCAGGGGAACUCCCCUGUAUAAAACCAUCAGAACUCAUGAGACUUAUUUGCUAUCAUGACAACAGCAUGAGAAAAACCUGCCCCCAUAAUUCCAUCACCUCCCACCAGGUCCCUCCCACAACAGGUAAGGAUUAUUACAAUUCAAGGUGAGAUUUGGGUGGGGACACAGAGCCAAACUAUAUCAAAGGCGCACAGUAGAAUGUUGUAUCUUCAUUCAUUCAGGUGAUGAACAUUCUUCAUUACAUUUACUUCUUGGUAUUUUGUUAUUGUUGUUGUGUGCUAAAUAGCAGAGAAAGCACCACACUUUGAAAGAUGUAUAAGAUUAAGUUCGAUAAAUUAUAUUAUGUCUCUGUUUUUGGUUUAGAAAAUCCUAGUUUUAAUCUAUCUUACAUUAUGAAGCCUGAAAGUAAUAGAACAUAAUACUAUUCAGAACUCCAUAUUCUGGUCAAUGCUUAGUUGUCUCUUUAAAGCCUUACUUCUUCACUGGACUGCAAGUUCCCUGGGCUGGUGUGACCUCUUCCACUGCCAUGUAUCUCCUAUGGGCCUGGGUCUAGUGUGUGUUCGAUACAUAUUUGCAUGAACAAAUAAAUGGCUUCACCUGGAUAUCUCUUCAAAAGCAUCUAAUUUGCCUCUUUUUUCCCCACCUUUACAGACUUCCAGCUACAUCAAGCUUCUUGCUCUUUCCUGAAUACUCCAAGAUACUUAUUCCUCUGUGCCUUUUCACAUGCUAUUUCUUCUUGGUGUCAGAUCUUUGUACCUCUCUGUCAACUGGAAGACUGUCCUCAAACGACUUCCCACAAGAAACCUUUCCAGAGGGGUCACUAGCAGUGCACUGCGGAGGGAGCACCACCACCACUCGCCAAGGUCUUAAUAGACUCCGCGCUCCAUAAAGUGGACACCGAGCCAGUGACGGCGGAGAUGGCCCGGCGGGCGCCCACCGGCAUUGGCUGCGCUCCGAUUACUUCGUUAAGCAGUGUCAUGCUUCUUCUUCUUUUUUUUCUUUUUCUUUUCUUUUCUUUUUUUUUUUUAAUUUUUCCCUCCUACUGUGAGAACUGUUCACUUGGAGACUCCCUGUCUUAAUUACAAAGAGCCCUUUUAACCAUAGGUCACAGGACUUGGCUCUCUUGACAGGAAAUAAGGAAACAAGCUACCUUCCUGGAAAAAAAAAUUCAAACUUCUACUUCUCAAAUUAGUUAAAUGAAGCUUGUCGACGGUUGGGAGUUGAGCCUUAUGACAGUUGGCUAAUUGCAGUUGGUACAUUAACUAUGUUUUAACCAGAGCAGUUUGGGAUCUAAGUAGAUUAAAAAAAUAAAGCAAGCCUAGGCAUUUCCAACGAAAAACACUUAAAAUAACCACAAAGUUAAUAUUGGUUUUACUUGCUAUAUGUAUUACAAUACAAAAUGGAUUCCUGUAUCUUUAACAUUGUAAUUAAGUAAAUUUACAAAUAUUAACAUUUUUAAAAUGACACUAAAGCUACUUUAAAUCCUAGGAAGGCCUCUCUCUCUCUCUCUCUCUCUGCCCUUUCUUUUUUGAUUCUGCCUUCAAAAUGUCCUCUGUCUGUAUUUUUUAUAUUAAAUAUUCGCUGCAAAGUCUAUCUAGUAAAUAUCUGGUUCCAAGUCUGUGUACACCAUUCUCAAAUAUAAAACUUUUCAAAUGAAGAUAAACCUUUAGUUGAAUUGGUUUAUUUUCUGAUUUGAU